rnacentral:rRNA from 1 species
GGCCCCGCACAAGCGGUGGAGUAUGUGGUUUAAUUCGAUGCAACGCGAAGAACCUUACCAGGGUUUGACAUCCUGCGAAUUCUGGAAGCCAGGCAAGUAGCCUUCGGGAGCGCAGUGACAGGUGGUGCAUGGCUGUCGUCAGCUCGUGUCGUGAGAUGUUGGGUUAAGUCCCGCAACGAGCGCAACCCACGUCUUUAGUUGCCAGCAUUUAGUUGGGGCACUCUAGAGAGACCGCCGGUGAUAAACCCGGAGGAAGGUGUGGAUGACGUCAAGUCAUCAUGCCCCUUACAUCCUGGGCUACACACGUACUACAAUGCUACGGACAAAGGGCAGCAAACUCGCGAGAGCUAG